GGUUAACGCUGGCGGCGUGCCUAACACAUGCAAGUCGAACGGUUCUAAGCGCGAGCUUAGGAUAGUGGCGAACGGGUGAGGAAAACGUAGGAACGUGCCCCUUGGAGUUGGAUAGCCACGGGAAACUGUGGGUAAACCGACAUAGACUCGAGAGAGUAAAGGCCGAAAGGCGCCAAGGGAGCGGCCUGCGGCCCAUCAGGUAGUUGGUAGUGUAAAGGACUACCAAGCCGACGACGGGUAGCCGGUCUGAGAGGAUGGCCGGCCACAAGGGCACUGAGAGACGGGCCCUACUCCUACGGGAGGCAGCAGUGGGGGAUUUUGGACAAUGGGCGAAAGCCUGAUCCAGCGACGCCGCGUGGAGGACGAAGCCCUUCGGGGUGUAAACUCCUUUUCUCAGGGAAAAAGGAUGAUGGUACCUGAGGAAUAAGCCCCGGCUAACUACGUG
rnacentral:rRNA from 1 species